rnacentral:rRNA from 1 species
AACGAACGCUGGCGGCAGGCUUAACACAUGCAAGUCGAACGCAUCCUUCGGGGUGAGUGGCAGACGGGUGAGUAACGCGUGGGAACGUGCCCUUCAGUUUGGAAUAACCCAGGGAAACUUGGGCUAAUACCGGAUACGCCCGCAAGGGGAAAGAUUUAUCGCUGAAGGAUCGGCCCGCGUCUGAUUAGCUGGUUGGUGAGGUAAUGGCUCACCAAGGCGACGAUCAGUAGCUGGUCUGAGAGGAUGAUCAGCCACAUUGGGACUGAGACACGGCCCAAACUCCUACGGGAGGCAGCAGUGGGGAAUAUUGGACAAUGGGCGCAAGCCUGAUCCAGCCAUGCCGCGUGAGUGAUGACGGCCUUAGGGUUGUAAAGCUCUUUCGCACGCGACGAUAAUGACGGUAGCGUGAGAAGAAGCCCCGGCUAACUUCGUGCCAGCAGCCGCCGCAGUAA